CUGUGGCGUGAGGUGAUGUUGUGUGGCGUGAGGUGAUGUUGUGUGGUGUACUGUGGCGUGAGGUGAUGUUGUGUGGCGUGAGGUGAUGUUGUGUGGUGUAGUGUGGCGUGAGGUGAUGUUGUGUAGUGUGGCGUGAGGUGAUGUUGUGUGGUGUAGUGUGGCGUGAGGUGAUGUUGUGUGGUGUGAGGUGAUGUUGUGUGGUGUAGUGUGGUGUGAGGUGAUGUUGUGUGGUGUGAGGUGAUGUUGUGUGGUGUAGUGUGGUGUGAGGUGAUGUAGUGUGGUGUGAGGUGAUGUGAUGUUGUGUGGUGUAGUGUGGUGUGAGGUGAUGUUGUGUAGUGUGGUGUGAGGUGAUGUUGUGUCCUGUAGUGUGGUGUGAGGUGAUGUUGUGUGGCGUGAGGUGAUUUUGUCUCCUGUUGUGUGGCGUGAGGUGAUGUUGUGUCCUGUAGUGUGGCGUGAGGUGAUGUUGUUUGGCGUGAGGUGAUGUUGUGUCCUGUAGUGUGGCGUGAGGUGAUGUUGUGUGGCGUGAGGUGAUGUU